GACGAACGCUUGCGGCGUGCUUAACACAUGCAAGUCGAACGGAAAGGCCCUGCUUUUGUGGGGUGCUCGAGUGGCGAACGGGUGAGUAACACGUGAGUAACCUGCCCUUGACUUUGGGAUAACUUCAGGAAACUGGGGCUAAUACCGGAUAGGAGCUCCUGCUGCAUGGUGGGGGUUGGAAAGUUUCGGCGGUUGGGGAUGGACUCGCGGCUUAUCAGCUUGUUGGUGGGGUAGUGGCUUACCAAGGCUUUGACGGGUAGCCGGCCUGAGAGGGUGACCGGCCACAUUGGGACUGAGAUACGGCCCAGACUCCUACGGGAGGCAGCAGUGGGGAAUAUUGCACAAUGGGCGGAAGCCUGAUGCAGCAACGCCGCGUGCGGGAUGACGGCCUUCGGGUUGUAAACCGCUUUCGCCUGUGACGAAGCGUGAGUGACGGUAAUGGGUAAAGAAGCACCGGCUAACUACGUGCCAGCAGCCGCGGUGAUACGUAGGGUGCGAGCGUUGUCCGGAUUUAUUGGGCGUAAAGGGCUCGUUGGUGGUUGAUCGCGUCGGAAGUGUAAUCUUGGGGCUUAACCCUGAGCGUGCUUUCGAUACGGGUUGACUUGAGGAAGGUAGGGGAGAAUGGAAUUCCUGGUGGAGCGGUGGAAUGCGCAGAUAUCAGGAGGAACACCAGUGGCGAAGGCGGUUCUCUGGGCCUUUCCUGACGCUGAGGAGCGAAAGCGUGGGGAGCGAACAGGCUUAGAUACCCUGGUAGUCCACGCUGUAAACGGUGGGUACUAGGUGUGGGGUCCAUUCCACGGGUUCCGUGCCGUAGCUAACGCUUUAAGUACCCCGCCUGGGGAGUACGGCCGCAAGGCUAAAACUCAAAGGAAUUGACGGGGCCCCGCACAAGCGGCGGAGCAUGCGGAUUAAUUCGAUGCAACGCGUAGAACCUUACCUGGGUUUGACAUGGAUCGGGAGUGCUCAGAGAUGGGUGUGCCUCUUUUGGGGUCGGUUCACAGGUGGUGCAUGGCUGUCGUCAGCUCGUGUCGUGAGAUGUUGGGUUAAGUCCCGCAACGAGCGCAACCCUUGUUCACUGUUGCCAGCACGUUAUGGUGGGGACUCAGUGGAGACCGCCGGGGUCAACUCGGAGGAAGGUGGGGAUGACGUCAAGUCAUCAUGCCCCUUAUGUCCAGGGCUUCACGCAUGCUACAAUGGCUGGUACAGAGAGUGGCGAGCCUGUGAGGGUGAGCGAAUCUCGGAAAGCCGGUCUCAGUUCGGAUUGGGGUCUGCAACUCGACCUCAUGAAGUCGGAGUCGCUAGUAAUCGCAGAUCAGCAACGCUGCGGUGAAUACGUUCCCGGG
rnacentral:rRNA from 1 species